GUUAUAAUAUGACUUUUAUUUCUGAUAUGAUCUUAUGUGGGUCCAAUUUUGUGACCCGAGUAAAAAAAAAAGAACCUGUAACUUUGACUUGUUAUGAGGUCUCUGGUAACAAUUAAUUGCGGCGUAUUAUGAGUUAUGUUAUGAUGUAAACACCCUGAUAGUAGGUUUUUUUUUUCCAUUAUAGUGUAACUUUUCAGUUAUGUCUUGUAAAGUGAUCUUGUAUGUUGAUUGUUUUUAUCUUCUUGAUAUCGUGAUUGUGUGCAAGCUUGCUAUAAUGUGAUAUUGUGAUUGUGAUUUUUUUUUUUUUUUUACUUCUAAUAAAUGCCGAGGCAAGCUUGCUUGAUUUGAUUUGCUUCUUUUUCUUGAGUACAGUCUCAUACAAUGUAUGCAAACAACUUUGCAACUGGAAUCUAGUUAUCAGAUAGCUCUAUGUGUAUGAUUUUCUUUCUAUUUUUUUUUAUUUUUUUUUUUU
rnacentral:misc_RNA from 1 species